UUUUAAAAAUUCUAUUUAUUUAUACUGUUAAAAAUUGACAUCAUGUGAUGUGCCACAUGUACCUCAUUUUGACAUACAUGAAUCAAUUCUUAACAACAAAAAUGGAUGAAAUUUUUAACA
rnacentral:pre_miRNA from 1 species